GGAAUCGCUAGUAAUCGUAGAUCAGAAUGCUACGGUGAAUACGUUCCCGGGCCUUGUACACACCGCCCGUCACACCAUGGGAGUGGGUUGCAAAAGAAGUAGGUAGCUUAACCUUCGGGAGGGCGCUUACCACUUUGUGAUUCAUGACUGGGGUGAAGUCGUAACAAGGUAACCGUAGGGGAACCUGCGGUUGGAUCACCUCCUUACCUUAAAGAA
rnacentral:rRNA from 1 species